rnacentral:rRNA from 1 species
GCCUACGGGGCGCAGUAGGGGAUAUUGCACAAUGGGGGAAACCCUGAUGCAGCGACGCCGCGUGAGUGAAGAAGUAUUUCGGUACGUAAAGCUCUAUCAGCAGGGAAGAAAAAUGACGGUACCUGACUAAGAAGCCCCGGCUAACUACGUGCCAGCAGCCGCGGUAAUACGUAGGGGGCAAGCGUUAUCCGGAUUUACUGGGUGUAAAGGGAGCAUAGACGGCUGUGCAAGUCUGAAGUGAAAUGCCGGGGCCCAACCCCGGAACUGCUUUGGAAACUGUACAGCUAGAGUGCAGGAGGGGUGAG